AUUGAACGCUGGCGGCAUGCUUUACACAUGCAAGUCGAACGGUAACAGGCCUUCGGGUGCUGACGAGUGGCGAACGGGUGAGUAAUGCAUCGGAACGUACCCAGAGGUGGGGGAUAACGCAGCGAAAGCUGUGCUAAUACCGCAUGUGAUCUGAGGAUGAAAGCGGGGGACCGAGCAGCAAUGUUUGGCCUCGCGCCUUUGGAGCGGCCGAUGUCGGAUUAGCUAGUUGGUGGGGUAAAGGCCUACCAAGGCGACGAUCCGUAGCUGGUCUGAGAGGACGACCAGCCACACCGGGACUGAGACACGGCCCAGACUCCUAAGGGAGGCAGGAGUGGGGAAUUUUGGACAAUGGGCGGAAGCCUGAUCCAGCAAUGCCGCGGGCGGGAAGAAGGCCUUCGGGUUGUAAACCGCUUUUGGCAGGAACGAAACGGUGUCCGCUAAUACCGGGCGCUAAUGACGGUACCUGCAGAAUAAGCACCGGCUAACUACGUG
rnacentral:rRNA from 1 species